AGACAGUGUUUACCACGCAGCUACUGGUUAGCCUACAAAAAUGGCCUUAUAUUUUCAAUUAAUUGCUAAUAAGUUUUGUGUGUUCUGAAAAAUUGAUUCACUUGGAUGAAGACAACAUAUGUGACCAUAUAUUAAGGUGAAAGGCUGUUCUGUAAGAGAUAUAAUUUAAACAGGUGUAUAUUUACCUGGACAUAUAUAAGUGUAAUAACAUGCGUCCCAUGAAUAUAUUUCUUCAAAAUGAAAUCAAAUAAAUUCAACACACAAAUGAAAAAUCAAAAACGAAAACAAGAUUCAAAUAAAAUAUGAAAUAACUUAACAAGCAAUUUAGUACAAAGCAUCAAACACCCAACUUGCUUAAUGAAAUCACACAAAUUAAGGAUAACGUAUUGGUAAUAUGCAAAUAAAA
rnacentral:lncRNA from 1 species